rnacentral:rRNA from 1 species
UUGAUUUCACACUGCCGAGAAAAGCCUCUAGAUAGAAAAUAGGUGCCCGUACCGCAAACCGACACAGGUAGUCAAGAUGAGAAUUCUAAGGUGAGCGAGCGAACUCUCGUUAAGGAACUCGGCAAAAUGACCCCGUAACUUCGGGAGAAGGGGUGCUCUUUAGGGUUAACGCCCAGAAGAGCCGCAGUGAAUAGGCCCAAGCGACUGUUUAUCAAAAACACAGGUCUCUGCUAAACCGUAAGGUGAUGUAUAGGGGCUGACGCCUGCCCGGUGCUGGAAGGUUAAGAGGAGUGGUUAGCUUCUGCGAAGCUACGAAUCGAAGCCCCAGUAAACGGCGGCCGUAACUAUAACGGUCCUAAGGUAGCGAAAUUCCUUGUCGGGUAAGUUCCGACCCGCACGAAAGGCGUAACGAUUUGGGCACUGUCUCAACGAGAGACUCGGUGAAAUCAUAGUACCUGUGAAGAUGCAGGUUACCCGCGACAGGACGGAAAGACCCCGUGGAGCUUUACUGUAGCCUGAUAUUGAAAUUCGGCACAGCUUGUACAGGAUAGGUAGGAGCCUUUGAAACGUGAGCGCUAGCUUACGUGGAGGCGCUGGUGGGAUACUACCCUAGCUGUGUUGGCUUUCUAACCCGCACCACUUAUCGUGGUGGGAGACAGUGUCAGGCGGGCAGUUUGACUGGGGCGGUCGCCUCCUAAAAGGUAACGGAGGCGCUCAAAGGUUCCCUCAGAAUGGUUGGAAAUCAUUCAUAGAGUGUAAAGGCAUAAGGGAGCUUGACUGCGAGACCUACAAGUCGAGCAGGGUCGAAAGACGGACUUAGUGAUCCGGUGGUUCCGCAUGGAAGGGCCAUCGCUCAACGGAUAAAAGCUACCCCGGGGAUAACAGGCUUAUCUCCCCCAAGAGUUCACAUCGACGGGGAGGUUUGGCACCUCGAUGUCGGCUCAUCGCAUCCUGGGGCUGUAGUCGGUCCCAAGGGUUGGGCUGUUCGCCCAUUAAAGCGGUACGCGAGCUGGGUUCAGAACGUCGUGAGACAGUUCGGUCCCUAUCCGUCGUGGGCGUAGGAAAUUUGAGAGGAGCUGUCCUUAGUACGAGAGGACCGGGAUGGACAUACCUCUGGUGUACCAGUUGUCGUGCCAACGGCAUAGCUGGGUAGCUAUGUGUGGACGGGAUAAGUGCUGAAAGCAUCUAAGCAUGAAGCCCCCCUCAAGAUGAGAUUUCCCAACUUCGGUUAUAAGAUCCCUCAAAGAUGAUGAGGUUAAUAGGUUCGAGGUGGAAGCAUGGUGACAUGUGGAGCUGACGAAUACUAAUCGAUCGAAGAC